CAGUCGCCGCGGUAAUACGGAGGGCGCGAGCGUUACCCGGAUUUACUGGGCGUAAAGGGCGUGUAGGCGGCCUGGGGCGUCCCAUGUGAAAGGCCACGGCUCAACCGUGGAGGAGCGUGGGAUACGCUCAGGCUAGAGGGUGGGAGAGGGUGGUGGAAUUCCCGGAGUAGCGGUGAAAUGCGCAGAUACCGGGAGGAACGCCGAUGGCGAAGGCAGCCACCUGGUCCACUUCUGACGCUGAGGCGCGAAAGCGUGGGGAGCAAACCGGAUUAGAUACCCCAGUAGUCCCUGUCUCUAUACA
rnacentral:rRNA from 1 species